GACACACCAUGGGUUCCACCACAUGACAACAGGCCACCCUUACAAUCAAGUCUAAAGCACUUCAAGUGCUUGGUUUCCUCGAUCUCAGAAGACAGCCAUCGGUAGGUACGAUGCCGCCGUAGCACCUCAAUGGACUUGAGCUCCAGUGGUGUGGGCUGAACACCAAGAUCUUCCAGGCCAGGCAGGUCGGUCGGCAUCACGUCUGAGAUAUGUAUCUGUGACAAAGAGACACAGAGAAUGCUGAGACAGAGUGCCACCCCUCAGACCCCCAAGCUGGCCUGAGGCUCAUCACUGAGGCAAGGGUCGUCAGAGACCCCACAACAAUCUUUGAUUCUGGAACUCACAAAAGCAGAACAAAUAAGAAAUCAUCAUCAAAGGCCUGAGGCAGGUCUCCCAUACCCCAGAACCACAGGACAGAGACCCUGAAAGAGCAGCCCCACAGGCACAUGUGCGCAGAGCUGAGCCUAGUGAACGUGGCAGGAGCUAUCUCUCCACCUAGAGAUUCAGAUAAGAGCUAAGGCAAAUGCUGCUCACAGCAGGAGCGAGGGCUCUGCCUGGUGAGAGGCUUGCUAUGCCAAGACUUACCCGCUCCACCUUGUCCUUCGUCGUCCAGGGCUCAAAUGGACUCAGCCCAAAGAGUUUGCCAAUCCAGCUGCAAUGGAAGUACAUACGGCGUGUGUGAGAGGCGUCUGGGCUGGGUUUCAGCCUACUGGACCCCCAGGAAAAGAGGGGCUGCUGUAAGCGAGAACUUGCUAAGUUUGUCAUUGUUUUCUGAGAAAAUAACAACUUCCUGGCUCUACUACCUGUUGUGGAGACAGAUCUAACUCACCCUCCCUGCCUCCUUUUCCUGGAUUUUUAAAUCAGCGACUCAAGUCACUAGGUGGCUGAUAGUGACUUUGAACUCCUAAUCCUUCUGCCUCUCAAAAGCUAGCAUGUGCCGCCAUGCCUAUCAGCUACAGCUUUGGGGAGAGGGGAAGAUGCUAGGAAAAAC
rnacentral:lncRNA from 1 species